rnacentral:piRNA from 1 species
UGAUCUAUAUGUAUAGACGUGCACUG